CCUAUUGUGGUACGCCAUCCAAUAUUUGAAACUUGACUUUCAGAUAUUAUUCCUUCUAUGAUGCUUGAAGAUUAACUCUUUUAAAAUAAUCUUCCUUGACAAAAUCUUCACAUGAUAUUCUCUUUCCCGUAUUUGUCUCGAUCUUUACCAUAAUCAUCUUUUAUGAAUAAACCUGUGCAAAAAUAAGAUUACCACUAGUAAGUAUUCUUUAAUUAAUAAUUAUGUUGGUUCGUUAUCAUCAAAAUUAAUGCUUGAAACCUUGAAGCUAAC
rnacentral:lncRNA from 1 species